rnacentral:rRNA from 1 species
CGUACACUCCUACGGGAGGCAGCAGUGGGGAAUAUUGCACAAUGGGCGCAAGCCUGAUGCAGCCAUGCCGCGUGUAUGAAGAAGGCCUUCGGGUUGUAAAGUACUUUCAGCGGGGAGGAAGGCAAUACGGUUAAUAACCGUGUUGAUUGACGUUACCCGCAGAAGAAGCACCGGCUAACUCCGUGCCAGCAGCCGCGGUAAUACGGAGGGUGCAAGCGUUAAUCGGAAUUACUGGGCGUAAAGCGCACGCAGGCGGUCUGUCAAGUCGGAUGUGAAAUCCCCGGGCUCAACCUGGGAACUGCAUUCGAAACUGGCAGGCUUGAGUCUUGUAGAGGGGGGUAGAAUUCCAGGUGUAGCGGUGAAAUGCGUAGAGAUCUGGAGGAAUACCGGUGGCGAAGGCGGCCCCCUGGACAAAGACUGACGCUCAGGUGCGAAAGCGUGGGGAGCAAACAGGAUUAGAAACCCUGGUAGUCCCAUG